UACGUAGGGACCGAGCGUUGUCCGGAUUCAUUGGGCGUAAAGAGCUCGUAGGCGGCCACUCAAGUCGAAUGUGAAACCUCGAGGCUCAACCUCGAGCCUGCAUUCGAUACUGGGCGGCUAGAGUCUGGUAGGGGGAUCUGGAAUUCCUGGUGUAGCGGUGGAAUGCGCAGAUAUCUGGAGGAACACCGGUGGCGAAGGCGGCAUCCUGGACCAACACUGACACUGAGGAGCGAAAGCCAGGGGAGCAAACGGG
rnacentral:rRNA from 1 species